rnacentral:lncRNA from 1 species
GCGGGGGCGCGGGAGGGGGGCAGCUCUCGCGAGAGUCGGCGCGGGAGUACGGCCCCCGCGUGGUCACGUGCGAGGGAGGGGAGCGGGCGACGCGGCCGCCAUGAUACCUGGAGUGGCGGAAGUGCGCUGUUUGGGGUGUCUCGGUGGUAGUGGCACAUGGCGGGGACUCUGGAAUCUACCUACCCACAUGAAGUGCACAUGGGAUGCAUGGUCAGCUACAACACUCCCGUAGCAACCGUACAGUCAGAACACUUGGGUUUCUCUUUUGUCAACUUCAUGUCUGGUUUCUGUACUGUGAGCAAAACUGAGGAUAUGGGUACCACAAAGAAGUCUUCAACGACCUUAGCACUAAAUUGUAGCUUGCCU